rnacentral:rRNA from 1 species
GACGUAGGGCGCGAGCGUUGUCCGGAUUUAUUGGGCGUAAAGAGCUCGUAGGCGGCUUGUUGCGUCGACUGUGAAAACCCGCGGCUUAACUGCGGGCUUGCGGUUGAUACGGGCGGGCUAGAGUUCGGUAGGGGAGAGUGGAAUUCCCGGUGUAGCGGUGAAAUGCGCAGAUAUCGGGAAGAACACCUAUGGCGAAGGCAGCUCUCUGGGACGGUACUGACGCUGAGACGCGAAAGCGUGGGGAGCGAACAGG